GUGCCAAAUCUAGCUCUCAAUCUGGCUCACACAUGCUUUGAUGGCGUCUCCUUCAAUGGCUCCGACGACACAACGGGAAGAAGAUGAGUGUCUCCGACGAGUUCGUCGUUUGAGAUUCCUAUCACCCCGGCAGCACUCUUCACCACCGCCCGCUUUCCAACUCCGACGACCCCCUUCGCAACCCUAGGGAUUUUUCCCCUUCAUGCUUCGAAUCGAGUGAGAUUUUUCACCUGAGAGGAAAAAUCCCGAUCGAUUGUGCCCGCUCCCACCGUCGUCGACCACAGAUUGAGGUUCAUCACCGAUUUCGGCUUGGUCCGUCGUUGCCGGCGGAGGAAGACACGAAUACUCCUUUCGUUGUCGAUAUGGCUUCACUCUCGAUCUCUGAAUCUCGCUCUUGAAUCGCAAAUCCUUCUCUCCUCUGUUCUUGUCACCAAUCGCAUGGCAAAUUACAUUUCCUCUCUUCUCUGAUUGUGUCUUUGUUUCUGCACAACUCUGACAUAUUGCUAUGAAUUUCACUGAUGUGGUGGUGCAGGGACAAAGAGAAAGGAUAAAGGGUGAUUAGCCAAGCUUAUAACAGUGGCGGUGUAAUCAUGGAGGAACUGGAGGCAAGGGAUGGUAUUUCCUUAAUGAUGGAAGACAUUGGAACUUCUCGUGUUUGGAACAUGCACUAUAGCAUCAGAUACUGGCCAAACAACAAUAGUAGAAUGUAUUUGCUUAAGAACUCUGGCGUGUUUUUCUCUUAUAAUUUGGCUUACUCACUAGCCUUUUGUGCAACCUUUUUUUGCCUUACUUUCAUUUGUAAUGAAUUGGAUGGGACACUGAGGAGUAACCAUAAACUGUUGGAUCAUGGUGGUUGAUGUACAAAUAAAAAGAAAGGUUGUACUUACAGUUGGUCAUGCCUGGGUGGUUGUUGUGCCAGUCCUGAACUAGGUCUAUAGGAAGCUGCUAUAUCUGGUUGAUUAUGAGGAGGACUAGAACAAGUAUGAUAAGAGUUUGAACAAAGUAGGAGCAGAACUCGUAAAGGUACCAUCCUCAAACCUCAAAUCUAGAUGGAUUUUCUCAUAUUCCUUCAUAGUCAUCACUAUAACUAGAGUACCCUAGUCCCUUCAAUGAUACACUGAUUAGCUAUGAGGAGUUGAAGGAGCAUGUGGAGGAAAACGAAGUCACAACUUUGACGAGGAUGAAGAAGAAUAUGACGACGACAAUGAAGAUGAGGAGCGUGACGUAGAGGUAAGAUUUUGCACAUCAUGCAGAACUAUGCUUCGGGGAAUUUAGUGACAGGGUUAAGCACUGGAUCACAAUUUGUAGGGCCAUGGUGCCCACUUCGGCCAAGUUCUAUCAUCAGGCUAGUGAAGCCAUUUAUGGCACAUUGAGAUGUGGUUAUGUGUCUGAGUGAGAAAGAAAUUGAGUUUGAAGCACUGCAUGUUGACCUCUCCAAAAGGGAGCAUAAGGGACCUGAGUUCCUCAAGAUUUCAGUGAUAAGAGCAACAGUAAGGAAAAGAAAAUUGAGUAUUCUUGAGGUGUGGCUGACUAGUUAGUUUGAAAUUUUUUGAAAGCAUAAGGGGUCUAAUGAACCCAAGUGUCGUGUUAUUAGUAAGAUGAUUCAUUCAGCUGAAUGUUGGAAGCACCAUAGCCAAGCACUUAUAUGGAAAAUUUGCAAUGGAAGCACCCCAUUAUCCUAAAAAACGUGUUAAGGAUUAUGCUGUCAAAUGGGGGCAUAUAUUGGAUCGAUAUGCAUGUGCAAGCAGUAAAGUUAAUACUGAUUGGACAUUGUACACUUCAAUUCCAAAGAAAUAAAAUAUAUAAAUAAUACCGA